rnacentral:misc_RNA from 1 species
UCUCCGUUGGUGAACCAGCGGAGGGAUCAUUACCGAAGUUACCUUCAAAACCCACUGUGAACCUUACCUCUUGCCGCGUUGUCUCGGCGGGAGGCGGUGUGCGUCGCGCGCCCUAGCGGGCCGCGCCGCUCCCGUCCCCGCCGGCAGCGCCAAACCCUAAAUGCACAGCGGACUGUACGUUCUGAUUUACAAAAAAAAAACAAGUUAAAACUUUCAACAACGGAUCUCUUGGUUCUG